rnacentral:miRNA from 1 species
UUAGCCACGACGGUCUGUGGCUAAAAAGUAUACCAGAUUUCAGACCGUCGUGGCUAAAAAGUAUACUGAAAUCUGGUAUACUUUUUAGCCACAGACCGUCGUGGCUAAAAAGU